rnacentral:rRNA from 1 species
UGAUCCUGGCUCAGGACGAACGCUGGCGGCGUGCCUAAUACAUGCAAGUAGAACGCUGAAGACUUUAGCUUGCUAAAGUUGGAAGAGUUGCGAACGGGUGAGUAACGCGUAGGUAACCUGCCUACUAGCGGGGGAUAACUAUUGGAAACGAUAGCUAAUACCGCAUAACAGCAUUUAACACAUGUUAGAUGCUUGAAAGGAGCAAUUGCUUCACUAGUAGAUGGACCUGCGUUGUAUUAGCUAGUUGGUGAGGUAACGGCUCACCAAGGCGACGAUACAUAGCCGACCUGAGAGGGUGAUCGGCCACACUGGGACUGAGACACGGCCCAGACUCCUACGGGAGGCAGCAGUAGGGAAUCUUCGGCAAUGGGGGCAACCCUGACCGAGCAACGCCGCGUGAGUGAAGAAGGUUUUCGGAUCGUAAAGCUCUGUUGUAAGAGAAGAACGUGUGUGAGAGUGGAAAGUUCACACAGUGACGGUAACUUACCAGAAAGGGACGGCUAACUACGUGCCAGCA